CAAGUCAUAGAGGGAAGGACUCUCUCUAUUCAGUAUGGUUCUAGAAAGGUUAGAGGGACGUCUACAGGAACUAGAUGCUGACAGACCACGUCUGAAAAGGCAAGCACAGAGCAGAGAAUAAACUCGGAGAGGAGGGACAGGUUUCGACCGAGCUCUUUCGAACAGCAAGGGCACAUUACUUUAACGUCCAAAAUCAGUGUCACGAACAGACAACCAAGUGCUUUGAUGUGCAAAACUAUUCUCUCCUGCUGAUACCAAGAUAAAAGGCCAGGAACCCAUAGGCUUCUAGGAGGGAAGAGGAUCCUAUACUGACAGCAGGAGAGGAAAGAAGGACCUCCAGUCUAAACCUUGAUGAAAGCUUAGGAGAUGCUACUGUUGAAGUCUUAGCCUCAGAACUGUGAGAGCACAGGUAUGUUUAUCUACAGUACCACAGAGAAGGGGUGUAUUGUCUUAUGCGCCAAUAGGAAGCUACAAAAGCUAGAGAACUCACAAGAAGUUUGUUAAUAUAUUUAGAGAGAUGAAUCUGUUCAAAGUGACACCAAGUAAAUUUCUAAUUCUAAAGUCAUGCCAUUUAUAAAACUCCAUUUCAUUUGAAAUUCUGUUCUAGAUAUUUGAGGGAAAUUAUAUACUGUAAUUACUCAGUAGCUUUUCCUAGAGAGUAACUGAUUUACUAAGUAAGAAAAUUACAGUAAACUGUAGUAUUUGGGAAAUGUCUUCUUUGAGUCAUUUCCUGAUUUAUAAACUAGCAAAGAAAAGUAACUUGGCUUCUAGUAACUAGGCGAACAGGCAACAAUUAAGAAAUACCAGUUCAUAAAUUGAGUUCUAUGAGAGUCAGUGAAUAUUCAGUUAUACAGAGGGUGAAACAGUUUUAGUCUCAAAAGUUCUGCAUAAUAUUUUUAGUGUUUUGAUCGUAGAAAAUAAAUGAGAAAACCGAGAAGGUAUUCUUAGUCAUUGUUAUUUCCAAUGUCAAAUUUAUAAUACAAUACACAUAUAUCAUGGAAAUGAUAUGGAUGAUCAUAUAAAAUUCACAGAUCCAAGUAAAACGGUGAAAACUAAACUCCGAUUGUGUUUUGGUGUGUGCACUGUUCCGUGGUGGUGUAAGGAAGGCAGCUCAGCAGUUAAGUGCACGUACUCUUCUUGCAGAAGACACAAGUUUGGUUUUCUGAACCCACAUGGCAGGUAACAGCAGCGACUGAAGUUCCAGGUGACCCCCUCUCAUGAAGUCCAAGGGAGCUGCAUGUUCAUGGUGCACAGACAUAGGCGAAAUACUCAUAUGGAUAAAAUUAAAAUAAACAGAUCUUAAAUAAUUUUGUAAAAAGAAUGUUAUAUGGAAUGCUCAGACAUUCAGCAUUUAGAAUACACUAUAAUUUUCAUUCCUAACAAAUUUAGGAACAUGUUCAAACACUUACAGAUAUUUAUCCUGUGGGACUCGGUCCUUUCACAACCCAGGUGAAAUGAUCUUAGAACAUGUCAUGUACACAGUAUAUAGCUUUAUGUCAUACUUCUACAAAUAGAAAAUUCAGAUUACCAUAGAUCUUACCUUAAAUAUUCAAAUAGUGUGGGGGGAAAUUCUAUUUCCUUGUCCAUUGAAAUACCAUAGACAAACAAAAAAAUUUGGAAAAGUUCAUGGAAGGUAUGAUAGUGUUCUUGGAAGUCACAUUUUACUAAGAAUAGCAAAUAAAUAAAUAUCCUGUACAUGACUCGUAUGCCAGAACAUAUAAGAUGUGAGAUGAGAUCCAACAGAGAAGAUAUCUCCAGAGGAGCUCAAGUAGAAUCCACAAAUAGCCAUAAAUUGAUACUUCUACACAUACAUGGUUUGUACAGGAGGGGAUGUCUAACAUUUUCUCCAUAACCCAACUUUUAUUUGAAAUAUUACAUCACAUACAUGAUAAAAAUAAUAAAGUCUCAAACCAGGAAAAUACAGCCUGACUUAUUCUCCCGAUGAUAUAGACAGCAGCUGUUUUGGAAGCACUGCUUUCUAGGCCGUGGCAUUGUUAACAUUGAUACAAAAUUGCCAACAACCUAAGUCCCAGUUAGGCUUGCCGGACUAAAACAGAACUGAAUCAAUCGAGGAAGAAUACAAGGAGAGACUGACAUACAAAGUAUUCUGAAGACAUUCAAUUUCCUGGUUCCACUCAACCUCAGAUUCACCCUUGUCCUUCCAGGAUGCAUAGACCAAUAAAUCUCACAUUGAACCUGAGCUGGUUUGCAUUGACUUUCUGUCAAGUGUCACCAGAGAAUACUCUCUUCUGCAGAGAACUUAAUUCAGCAGUAGGACACAGUGGUCAUGCACAUUGUUCCCUUCUCUACUUGUUUUACAUGUCCUUCCUUCUAUUUUUACUUCUCUUUUUGUUUUGUUUGCUUGCUUGUUUGUUUGUUUGUUUGUUUCAGGUAAGUUCUCAUACAAUCCAUGUUGGCUUUAAACACAUUAUAUAGCUAAAUCCUCUCUUGGAUUCCUGCUACUCUUCCAUUUCCCAAAUAUUAUGUGUCCCCAGCCAAAUUGCCUGUCAAGUAGAGUAUUCAGAUGUUUAUAUGUAAAGAAAAAGAAGAGGGUGUAGCCUUUUAUAAGAUCCAAGUAAUAGACUACAAGGAAAAAAAACUAUAAACGGUCAAGAGAAUGGAAAAAAACAAGUGCGACCAUUUGCGAGGCAAGUAUGGUCAGUCGGAAACCGGGGUAAGCAAGAAUGAGGUAAAGAUCUGUCCAAACCAAGAACAACUUAUCUGAGGCCAGCAGGAGUAAGGAUAACUCGCUUCUUAUUCUGGGCCUGUCUGCCCAAGGACGUGUAGCCCUGAACUUCCACCUCCACCACCAUCGAGGUGGUCAGUUAACUCGAUGGCAAAAGUGUAGGUUUAAUUUCCUCUCUUCUUAUAAGGACAAUCUAGAAAGCAUGUGAAACUCCUCUUCAUGCAAAUGAGGCAUUCCAGGCACCUCAACCCCAGCCAAUAAUGAACACUCCCCCUCCCAAGCCCCUCCCCCCAAUAACGUUUAUAUAUCCCUUACUAACCCAGAAUAAACUGAGCUGUAACAAUGAAAACUGUCUCCAAGGAGACUAUUUUCUCCCCCAGCUCCCUAGCAUUCAAGGCAACUAACUGGGUUUCUGUUAUCUCAGCCAGUCAGGACAAACUUCAUUCCCUUCAUUCAGCCUCACGUGCUCCAGUGCCUGAAUACCCUGAAAACAGAAGCUGGAUCCGGCCUGCAACCAUGAGUACAAUGUAUACCAUGAGUUUAACCCUGAGAUUAUAAGAAAAUUACAUUUCUCCCUUCCCUUUCCUUCCUCCAAACCCUGCCGUAUAACCCUUUCUGCCCUCCUUCAGAAUCAUGGUCGCUCUUUCCAUUAAUCUUCAUUGCAUUUUUAUAUGUGAAUAUAAAUAAAUAUAUAUUCCUUAAUAUAACAUUUUCAGUCUGAAUAAUGUUACCCGUAUGCAUGUUUUCAGGGCUCACGAUUUGGCACUAAACAACCAAUUGGAGUGGUUUGUGAAGAGACCACCUUUAAAACUCUCAGCCUUCCUUAGUUGAUAAUUCUUUGUGUCAGAUUGAGGCUUCGUGGGAUUUUUCCUCUCCACUGUGGAAAGACCACUAGUGUCGUCAUUUUUCAGCACACGUUAUUGAGAUUUUAUGGGAUUAGCUUCUAAUAUUACUAGAAGACACAGUAAGAUUAUAUGAUAUGUAAAAGGUCACAAUAAAAACAAAGUGCCCUUUAAUACUAGCUCUCAUAUAUUAUAAUACCCCCCUCAUCGGAAAAACAGAAAACAAGUUCAUACAUGUCUUACUGAAGUUGUUUAAGUGCCUCAUUAAAACAGUAUAGACCUUUGAAAUUUGUCAAGUCAAGUUCCUAUAAAAAUUAGAAAGCCAAUAUCCCUACCGAUAUCGCCAGAUGAUCGAAUGUUCAAACUGGUUAAGGAGGAGACCUAUAAUCUCAAAACCUACAGCAUUUUCAGCAUAAAAGAGUAAUUAACAAAAAAAGACGCAUCCUAGUAUAUUGAAUUGAUGUCUUUAUUAAC
rnacentral:sRNA from 1 species